UUUUCUUUGAACAAAUUUAGAUUUUAGCUGUUGGGUUCUAAAGUAGUGGUCUAUUCUGAUCAUUCGGCUUUGAGACAUCUUCUCUCCAAAAAGGAAACCAAACCCCGUUUGAUUCGAUGGAUCCUCUUGUUUCAAGAGUUUGAUUACAAAAUCCGAGACAAGAAAGGGUCAGAGAAUGUGGUAGCUGACUAUCUUUCUAGAAUUUUGAUUGAGGAUACUUCAACUUCACUUCUAGUUUAUGAUUCCUUUCCGGAUGAAUAGUUGUUUAAGGUUUCUCAUACAGAUUUACCUUGGUUUGCUGAUAUUGUGAAUUACUUUGCAAUAGGCAAAAUUCCUUUGUCUUGGUCAAAGCAGGAAAAAAAUCGAUUCUUCUCUCAGAUUAAGAUGUACUAUUGGGAAGAUCCCUAACUUUUCAAGUAUUGUGUUGAUCAAAUCAUUCGUAGAUGUGUUCUUGAGAGUGAGUUUCAUAGUAUUCUAACCUUCUGUCACAGUUUAGCUUACGGAUGUCAUUUUAGUGCAAAUAAAACUGCAGAAAUUCUAAUCCCCAAAGCUCCAAUUUCAAACUCUUCCAAAUCUGAAUCAAUCCCAGCAAUUCCAUGACGAAGUUUACGUGGCUGUGGAAAUCGAAUAAAUCAGCAUCCAAGAUCGAGUCGAACCCAGAAAUGUCGUCAGACCCUCAAAUUUGAUUGGGGUGGCGUUGACGGAGGGCUGUGAUUUGAGGGCUACCAAGGCCAAGAUUGGACAUUGGGGAUUCGGAAUCUGAGCCAUAGACGUCGAAAUUGUGGAAGUCGUGAAAGCAGUAAGGGGCUGAGUCAAGGGUCACCACAAAGUCGUCGUCUUCAUGCAGGUAAAGGUAUGAUACGUUAGCCAUUGACAACGAUUUAUUGUUAACUGCUUUUGUUGGAGUGGGUUUGUUUUCAGGUAAGGCACAUUUUUUGCUGCGUUUUUAAGGGCGUUUCAUGUCUGAAAUAACUUUUCCCUCAAACUAAAUAGAUGUUCAAGGUGUGUGUUCUUCUUCACGAUUUGAGUUUUUUUCUUUUCUUCUCUAGAUAAGACUUUUUCGAUUAUCAGAUUUUUUUUUUUUUUCAUGGACCGAGUAUUUUUCCGUUUCUCUAUUUUUUUUAGCACUUAUAUGCAUCAGAUUUGUUUCAUACGCGAAAUCGUAUAGGUCCUUCAGAUUUGGGGAAGGGAAUGAAGCUUUAGAGAAAAUACAAUUAAAGUUGCAAACAAUUUCUUUAAUAAAACCUAUUAGUAUGUAAUUAAAAUUUUGGUUACAUUUUUUAGGAAUUCUAUUUUUUUUUUUUUUUUUUUUUUUUUUUGGUAUUUUUAGGUUUCGAUCAUCUAGAUUAGCGUUUAUUGUUCUUCAUUUACCUGAUUCUUCUUCCUUUUUUAUUUAUUUAUUUAUUUUUUAAAAAAAUUUAAGCUUAGAUUUUUGGGUGCAUUUUCUAAUUUUGGAUUUUAUUCUCCUAAUACUGAUUUGUGAAUCUGUCAUUUGUACAAGUUGCAAAAAAGGUUGGGUAAACCACAGUUUCGACAAGAUCAAUCAUCUUUGAUUGCUUUGUCAGGAAGUGUGCCUUUCAUCCAUAGCUGUUCUUCAUAGAUUUUCAAGUGCUAAGGCUUCGUUCCAGAGAACCCCAGGUUCGAUUUGUUCUUUAGGAACCAUCAAGACCUGCUUCAAUUUCAUCUUGGUUUUGAUCUUAUCCAUCUAUUAUUUCAUUGCUUUGUUUGUCUAAUUUUUUAUUUUUUAUCUUUCACUAUUUAUUUACAUGUAAUAACACAAAUACAUGUUUUUAGGGUUUCAAAAUUGCCAAAAGCCCUAACAAUUAAGGUGAUUUAUUACAGAGAGAACUUGCCAUUUAAAUCGGUGUAUCUUCUUUUCUUCAAUUUGUAAUCAGUGAAGUUUGAUUGCAGUCAUUGGUUAUAACAAAUUGAAAGACGUAUAGUGGAUUUCAAGGCAAGAUCUCAACAUUUCCACAGGAUCCUUCUCUUUCUUAUUUCUUCCUCUCUCUAUGUGUGUAUAUAUAUGUAUGUAUAUUUAGAUUUAUAUUAUGUUGUUUCUUCAAGUUUUCUACUGGUUAAUUCUUAAACAUGACUAAUUUGGUUUUAUAAAUAAAGAUGGAGGCAAAAGUCGUUUCAAGAGAAAUUGGUGUUUACGCUGAUUGAAGGACUUCCACAGUUGAAUAUUGUGGUCUGGAAUAGCGAUACUAAUGACUCCAUUGGCAGGUUCAUUUACAAAAAUCCUUUCUCAAGGCUACAAUGACUGCCCUGUCCACUUCAGACUAAAAAUGACUGGUAUAAUCUUCUUGAUUGAAGAUCAUUACUUCAUGAUUAGCUAAGGUUUGGUGAAUUUUAAAAUCGAGUAGUAAAUUGGAACAAUAAUGUUGGUUAAGUUUAAGGUUGAAUUUAUAGACAAUGCUUUUUUUUAUAAUCAAAUAAAAAUUUUGAUAGUGGUUCUUAUCACAUAUGACAAGUUUCAGGAAGUUGCAAUAGAAGGCUAUUACUGUUGGGAGUAAGCGCAUUAACUUUGAGCCUAUUCCCUGCAAAUUCCCUUUUUGCUGAAGAGAUGCAUGGAAGAAGCUACUUGGAAUGGCUGGAGCAAUGAUGGCUGACUAUGAGGAUGUUGAAACCAUUUGAUGUUAAAACUGCUCGCGAAUACUUUGUAGUAUUUUCUUAAAAAAUUGGAGAUUUAUGGUUUCAUUAUGAAAUUAAGAGCUUGGAGUUUUUAUAGAUUUUAUAGCGCUAUUGUGAGAAUUCUUCUUCUAAACUUGAUAUUGGUAUAGAACAUAUUAACUGUGUUCUUUUUACUCAGAAUUUGUCCCAUUUGAUUCAGAAAAGUUGCAUACACAAUCUCUCUCUCUUAUUUGUUCUUCAUACCUUGGACUUGCAAUAUAAAAUGUUUUAAUCACAUAAAUCAAGCAGAGUUCAAAACAAAAACAUAAUAAUAAAAAUAAAAAACCAAUUUUCAGCUAAAAAUUUAUUAGGGAUAGUAAAUACUGUCACGAAUAAUGUAUGUAUUAGUGACAGUCUAAAAAAUGUCCCAAAUAUAUAACUUGUUAGUGACGGUACGUUUCGUCCCAAAUAACAGUCCCUAAUAACUUUUAAUGACGGGGUUAUUUGGGACAGUAACUACCGUCACUAAAGACCCAUUUUUUGGUAACAGUCAUUUUUUACCGUCACUAAAGAUCUUUUAAGACGCUCUAACUAGUGACGGGCGAUUUUGAUUUUUAGUGAUGGUUUAAGGGCUUUUAGUGACGGAUUUGACUGUCACUAAAGACCUAUUUUCUUGUAAUGUGUGGUUUUGUCUAUUUCAGGUCAAUAAGGUUCAAACAGGAUAAAAAUGGUUUCUUACAACCGUUUUGGAGUCAAGCAUAGAGUUUCGAAAAGUAAAAAAAAAAAAAAAAAAUAUUAAAUAAAUUAAUUUUUGAAUCGAUCGAGAAUUUUUUGAUCAAUCGAAGAAAUCUUCAAUUGAUCGAAAAUACGCUAGUAGCGAACUGUUUUAUUCUCGCACAUCCGAACUCUACCUACCACAUAGUUGCGGGAUUAGAUAUUUUAAAGGCUUACUUUUUGACUUGUUCACUACUCGAAGGACCAUGUAUUUAAAGGGAGUUGAACCAUUUCGUAAUCUAUCUUUUGUCUUCAAUUUUAUUUCAUUGUAAUAGUUAGUUUCUCUCUCUAGAAAAGUUAAAGAUUAGGGUUAGAAGAAAAGAGAAGAGUGGAGUAAUAAGCGCCGAAUAUUGUAUAUUCAAGCGCCCUAAAUUGCAUUAGUAAAGUCCAUUGUAUGUUAAUUUAUGUAGAUUAUCUUCAUUUCUAUGUUUUUAUGCAUUUUCAGGUUCCUUGGCCCAAAAGGAGCAAAAUUAAGGUGUUGUGGAUUUUUUAUCAACAAUGUGCUCAAAAGCUGAAUUUCAGGCAGCAGUGGAACUCGAUUUUGAUUGCCACUUUUGACCCAGAAAUCUCGAGAUCUGGACUUCCAUUAUAAAAUGGCAUAUUUAGAGCUCUGAAUUAUCUU